rfam:Oryza punctata chromosome 2, whole genome shotgun sequence.
AAUAAGUACAGUUUUACACUAUUGAUGUCCAAUAUUUAACCGUUCGUCUUAUUUGAAAUUUUUUUUAUGAUUAGUAUUUUUGUUAUUGUUAGAUGAUAAAACAUGAAUAGUACUUUAUGUGACUAAUUUUUCUAUAAAAUUUUUAAAUAAGAUGGACAAUCAAACGUUGGACACGGAAACCCACAAUUACACUUAUU